AUUUCAGAGAAACAACAAAUGUCCCAAUGUGAUGUGGGACAUAUUUAUGCUAAAAAACUUAUAUUCAUUUGUUUCUCUGAAAUGCACAUGUAA
rnacentral:miRNA from 1 species